UGCCAGACUCCUACGGGAGGCAGCAGUGGGGGAUAUUGCACAAUGGGGGAAACCCUGAUGCAGCGACGCCGCGUGUGGGAAGACGGUCCUCUGGAUUGUAAACCACUGUCCCCAGGGACGAAAAUGACGGUACCUGACUAAGAAGCCCCGGCUAACUACGUGCCAGCAGCCGCGGUAAUACGUAGGGGGCAAGCGUUAUCCGGAUUUACUGGGUGUAAAGGGAGCGUAGACGGUCCUGCAAGCCAGAUGUGAAAGCCCGGGGCUCAACCCCGGGACUGCAUUUGGAACUGUAAGGCUAGAGUGUCGGAGAGGCAGGCGGAAUUCCUAGUGUAGCGGUGAAAUGCGUAGAUAUUAGGAGGAACACCAGUGGCGAAGGCGGCCUGCUGGACGAUGACUGACGUUGAGGCUCGAAAGCGUGGGGAGCAAACAGGAUUAGAUACCCCCGUAAUA
rnacentral:rRNA from 1 species